CCUGAAUCCUCCGGUGCUGCUCGGACCUCUCGCCCCGCUCUCAGCCGCCCGGACACCUUCGACCAACAUUCAGCUGAGUCCACACUGCCGUCCUCCCCGGUCGGGUUUCUUGCACCUCGUGAUCGACCUGGUCCCCGCCGCCCGAGUUCCUGCCCGAGUAUCUUCCAGCCCGCAGAUUAGCUUCGCCGCCUAGCAUUCUCGCCUGUGUAAACAAUAAACCUUUUAAA